GUCCGUGAUGGAGUAGAUGUGUGGCGGCACCUCGUGGCGUUUCUUGCCCUUAUACAUCUCGAUGAUCUUUUCAGAGUAGAUGGGCAGCAUCUUGUAGGGGUUCACCACAACGCAGAACAGACCUGAGUACGUCUGUGGAGGGAAGAAAGACCUCGUCAGAGCAGAAAGGUGAAAGGAUGUCGUGUUGCAGUUGUUAAAGCCCUGGGCUACGUGACAGUGGCUGAAUCCCAACCUUCGGACUCACAGACUCACCGACAUAGAGAUCAGGCUGGAGAAGUAUCUCUCUCGGAGGUUGUGGAGGACUGAGGCUUCGUUGAGGAAAGUGAGGGCGGCCAUGUCCUCCACCUUGCUGAACUUGGGCGGGUUCAUCUUCUGGAUCUCGUCUUUGUUCACCUUCACCUUCUGGCCGUUGGAGAGCUCCACCAGCACCUGCAGCCAAAAACCCACCGUGUCAUAAAGUUUUGUGACAUUUACUUCAUUUACAAACUUAAUAAAGACGGUAGGUAUUGAUAUCAAGCAGCUCCCCGCAGUUUCUAUAUGUUGGCAUAGAUUUUUAAAAAAGACAGAGAAAGAGAAGCAACUUGUUACUGAACAACACAAAAUCUGUCAGCAAGCAAAAAUUAAAACUCUGCCUGGAAUAUAACAUUACAUGUUUGAAGCCCAGUUCUGUUUGUUGCCUUUGUGAUUAAAAUUAGUGUGUGCCUAUUUA